rnacentral:rRNA from 1 species
AGGUGCUGCAUGGCUGUCGUCAGCUCGUGCUGUGAAGUGUUGGGUUAAGUCCCGCAACGAGCGCACCCUAUCAUCUGUUGCCAGCAUUUAAGGUGGGGACUCAGAUGAGACUGCCGGUGACAAACCGGAGGAAGGUGGGGACGACGUCAAGUCAUCAUGGCCCUUAUGUCCUGGGCUACACACGUGCUACAAUGGCCGGUACAGAGUGAAGCGAAACCGCGAGGUGAAGCAAAACGCAGAAAGCCGGUCUCAGUACGGAUUGGAGUCUGAAACUCGACUUCAUGAAGUUGGAAUCGCUAGUAAUCGCGCAUCAGCAUGGCGCGGUGAAUACGUUCCCGGGCCUU